CCCUCUAAGUUUAAGCAUAUCAAUAAGCGGAGGAAAAGAAACAUAUAAGGAUUCCCCUAGUAAUGGCGAGUGAAUCGGGAACAACCCAACCAACCUUAGAAUCAGGUGACUCUGUCAUCCGAAUUGUAGUUAUGAGAAGUGUCCUCAGCGGCGGAUUGGGCCCAAGUCUCUGGAAGGAGGUGCCAGGAGGGUGAGAGCCCCGUUGUGCCCGGACCCUAUCGCACCACGAUGCGCUAUAUACGAGUUGAGUUGUUUGGGAAUGCAGCCCAAAUCGAGCGGUGAAUCUGAAUGUGGCAUUCCACUCAUGCCCAUGCCUGGUUACAUCAUU
rnacentral:ncRNA from 1 species